rnacentral:rRNA from 1 species
AACCCGGUGAACUGAAACAUCUAAGUAGCCGGAGGAAGAGAAAGAAACAUCGAUUCCGUAAGUAGCGGCGAGCGAACGCGGAAGAGCCCAAACCGUGAUGCGUGCAUCGCGGGGUUCGGACUGCAUAAGGGAUUCAGUAACGGCAGGAGAACGGCUUUGGAACAGCCGGCCAGAGAGGGUGAGAGCCCCGUAUCCGAAGCCAGAGCUGACCCGGCAGGAUCCAGAGUACCACGGGACACGGGAAACCCUGUGGGAACGAGCGGAGACCACUCCGUAAGGCUAAAUACUACUCAGUGACCGAUAGCGUAUAGUACUGUGAAGGAAAGGUGAAAAGAACCCCGGGAGGGGAGUGAAAAGAACCUGAAACCUUGUGCUUACAAGCACACAAAGCACGUCAACGUGUGAUGUGGUACCUUUUGUAGAAUGGUCCGGCGAGUGAAUGUAACUGGCGAGGUUAAGUUCUUAAGGAACGGAGCCGAAGCGAAAGCGAGUCUGAAUAGGGCGUCUUAGUCAGUUGUAUUCGACCCGAAACCGGGUGACCUAUCCAUGUCCAGGAUGAAGUUAAGGUAAAACUUGAUGGAGGUCCGAACCCACGGUCGUUGAAAUGCCCGGGGAUGAGAUGUGGAUAGCGGAGAAAUUCCAAUCGAACCCGGAUAUAGCUGGUUCUCUCCGAAAUAGCUUUAGGGCUAGCCUCGACUGAACAUUACCGGAGGUAGAGCACUGAAUGGGCUAGGGGCCGAGAGGUUACUGAACCCUAUCAAACUUCAAAUGCCGGAAAAUGAUAGUCGGGAGUCAGACUGCGUGAGAUAAGUUUCGUAGUCGAAAGGGAAACAGCCCAGACCCACAGCUAAGGUCCCAAAGUACGGUUAAGUGGAAAAGGAUGUGGAGUUGCACAGACAACCAGGAUGUUGGCUUAGAAGCAGCCACUCAUUAAAAGAGUGCGUAAUAGCUCACUGGUCGAGUGACUCUGCGCCGAAAAUUUAACGGGGCUAAAUCGUACACCGAAGCUUGGGAUGUAUCUAUGAUACAUGGUAGGAGAGCGUUGAAUGCGGGGUGAAGUCAGAGCGAAAGCGCUGGUGGACUGCAUUGAAGUGAGAAUGCCGGAAUGAGUAGCGAGAUUUAUGUGAGAAUCAUAAAGGCCGAAAGACUAAGGUUUCAGAAGGAAGGUUCGUCCGCUUCUGGUUAGCCGGGAGCUAAGGUGAGGCCGAAAGGCGUAGCCGAUGCACAUACGGUGGAGAUUCCGUAGCCGUCGAAAUAUUUAAGCAAAGGGACACUUAUGAAGGACAUGACCCGGGCGAUGGUAGCCCCGGGCGUAAGGGACCGAAAACAAGUAGGGAAGCAUGUUUGGAUUAAGGCGAGAAAAGCUUUGUGUAUAUAUGAGACGUCCGUACCGCAAACCGACACAGGUAGUCAGGAAGAGGAUUCUAAGGCCAACGGGAGAAGGGUAGUUAAGGAACUCGGCAAAUUGACCCCGUAACUUCGGGAUAAGGGGCGGUGCGCAAGCACCCGCAGUGAAUAGGUCCAGGCGACUGUUUAUCAAAAACACAGCUCUCUGCUAAAUCGAAAGAUGACGUAUAGGGGGUGACACCUGCCCGGUGCUGGAAGGUUAAGAGGAGGAGUGCAAGCUCCGAAUUGAAGCCCCAGUAAACGGCGGCCGUAACUAUAACGGUCCUAAGGUAGCGAAAUUCCUUGUCGGGUAAGUUCCGACCCGCACGAAUGGUGUAACGAUCUGGACGCUGUCUCAACUGCCCACCCGGCGAAAUUGUAGUACCGGUGAAGAUGCCGGUUACCCGCGGCAAGACGGAAAGACCCCAUGGAGCUUUACUGUAACUUGAUAUUGGGUCUUGGUAUUCUAUGUACAGGAUAGGCGGGAGACUAUGAAACAUACACGCCAGUGUAUGCGGAGUCACCCUUGGGAUACCGCUCUUAGAGUACUGAGAUUCUAACCUGCGGCCGUGAAUCCGGUCGGGGGACAUUGUCAGGUGGGCAGUUUGACUGGGGCGGUCGCCUCCUAAAAGGUAACGGAGGCGCUCAAAGGUUAGCUCAGCACGGUCGGAAACCGUGCCUCUGAGUGCAAACGCAAAAGCUAGCCUAACUGCGAGGCUGACGGGCCGAGCAGUAACGAAAGUUGGAGUUAGUGAUCCGGCGGUAUGUGAAUGGAAAUGCCGUCGCUCAACGGAUAAAAGCUACCCUGGGGAUAACAGGCUGAUCUCCCCCAAGAGUCCACAUCGACGGGGAGGUUUGGCACCUCGAUGUCGGCUCAUCGCAUCCUGGGGCUGUAUUCGGUCCCAAGGGUUUGGCUGUUCGCCAAUUAAAGCGGUACGCGAGCUGGGUUCAGAACGUCGUGAGACAGUUCGGUCCCUAUCUGUCGUGGGCGCAGGAUAUUUGAGGAGUGCUGUCCUUAGUACGAGAGGACCGGGAUGGACGCACCUCUGGUGCACCAGUUGUCACGCCAGUGGCACAGCUGGGCAGCUAUGUGCGGAACGGAUAAACGCUGAAAGCAUCUAAGCGUGAAGCCGCCUCCAAGAUAAGAUAUCCCAUAGCAUAAGCUAGUAAGACCCCUCAUGGACUAAGAGGUUGAUAGGCUGCAUGUGUAAGCGCGGUGACGCGUUUAGCUUGGCAGUACUAAUAGGUCGAGGGCUUGACUU